rnacentral:rRNA from 1 species
AGAUUGAACGCUGGCGGCGUGCUUAACACAUGCAAGUCGAACGCGAAAGGGACUUCGGUCCUGAGUAAAGUGGCGCACGGGUGAGUAACGCGUGGAUAAUCGUGCCCUUAUGAUCGGGAUAACAGUUGGAAACGGCUGCUAAUACCGGAUACGCUCGAAAAUGAACUUUUUGAGGAAAGAUGGCCUCUGCUUGCAUGCUAUCACGUAAGGAUGAGUCCGCGUCCCAUUAGCUUGUGGCGGGUAACGGCCCACCAAGGCAACGAUGGGUAGCCGAUUUGAGAGGAUGAUCGGCCACACUGGAACUGAAACACGGUCCAGACUCCUACGGGAGGCAGCAGUGGGGAAUAUUGCGCAAUGGGCGAAAGCCUGACGCAGCGACGCCGCGUGAGGGAUUGAAGGUUUUCGGAUCGUAAACCUCUGUCAGAAGGGAAGAAACUACGUUGUGCUAAUCAGCAGCGUACUGACGGUACCUUCAAAGGAAGCACCGGCUAACUCCGUGCCAGCAGCCGC